rnacentral:lncRNA from 1 species
CACUCACAUGCUAAUCCUAUUUGCAUUUUUUUAAAAAAAUCUGCAGGUUCAAUGCAACGAUUUGACUUCCAAGAGCAGAUAAAGUAUGGAACUGCUCUGCAUGCCUUGGAAUACUAAAUAAGAACACUCCCAUUACGUGCANGAAGCCGUAGAAGAAUGCUGUCUGCACUGAAUACAACAGAGAGUGUGAGCAUCCCAGGAGCUCCUUCUGCUUCAGCACAGGCAAUGCAAGCUAAGGAAUAAAUUCUUCCCCCUUCCCUCCUCUUCAUUGUCCCUGGCAUCAACAGCCAGGAUGAACUCAAUGUGGGCAGUAAAAGGUAUGUU